UCCCUGCUUUUAUAUAUUAGUUGUUUUUAAUAAAAUAUGAGUAUGAUAAAGUCAAUGGAAUGUGGGGUUAUUACUAAAAGUAAAAAAGGUAAGAAUGUCAAUUAAUUGUGGACAGACAAAAAAGAAAAUUGAUGUCAAUUAAUCGUUAACGGGCAUAAACUUCAAAAUUGGUAAAUAAUAUUUCAUACAUCCACCAGAAAAUAGUCUCAUUAGUGAAUGUCAUAAAUUUUAAUUUUUUAAUGCAAAAUAGAUCAAAUGUGAGGGAGAAAAAGAUAAAAUGGGUAAAAUAGAACAAAGAAACAAGAAAAUGGAUAAAGUACGAGAGACAAAAGAUUUAAAAAAAAAUUGAUUAGUAUAAAGGGUAAAUUGUUUCUAAAAUCAUGAACUUUCACAAUAGUUAGGUUUUUCCCGUGAACUUUAUUAGUUGCGUAAAAAAUUAUGAACUUUGCUCUCGCGUGCCGAUUUCUCUAGUCAGGUAUUCUGGCUAAGUAGAGUGCUGACGUGUGUAAGUGUCUAUCGUGGAUGAUGUUGUGGACGCUGAUAUGUGCAAUGACAUGGAUUUAAAUUUUAUAUUUUUUAAAUCAGAUUUCAAGAGACAGAAACCCCCAAAUUGAUUUCAAGAGACAAAAACGUCUAACCCUAACAUAAUACUCUCUCCAUCCCAGUUUAGGAGUGUCAAUUAGUUAUAACACGAGUUUUAAGAAAUUGGUGGAGUGUGUAAUUAAUGAAGUGAGAUGGUGGAGUGUGUAAUUAAUGAAGUGAGUUGAUGAAAAGUGAGAUGAUUUGACUUUUUAGAUUUAAAAUUUGUUUUUGGGUUUAUUUUUGUGUAGAUAAUGGUAUUUAGGUGUAAUUUUGUUGAAUAAUUGGGUAAAAUUUUAUGUCCAAAUAUGAAAAAUUCUAAAUGUGACUCUUAAACUGGGACGGACUUUUAUGUCAAAAUGUGACUCUUAAACUGGGACGGAGGGAGUAUCAGAAAUUAAACAUCACAUCUUAACUCUUUCUUCUGCUCAGCGGCGGCGACCUCGACCCCGACGGCGACGGCAACAUCCAUGGCACCGCCGACUCCGGACGACGUUUUUGGCCUCUAUAUUCAUCAUGGAGGACAUUUCAUUCCAAACGGUAAGUUUCAUAAAUAUAUUGGUGGUGGAAUGGCACAAGCAAGUGAUCUAGACCCAGACAGAUUUGGGUAUUUUGACUUAGUUGAGGAAUUGACACAUGUGGUAGACUCACCUUUGUGAAUCCUAUGUCAGCAACCCACGUGGAUAUAAAAAGUGAUAAGGAGGUGAUGGAGAUGUUAUCUGCUACUCUAAGAGUCAGUUUUAACAGGAUGUGUAGUAUAUAUGUUGUUGAUAGGAGGAAGUCAACUGAAGGCAUGGGUAGUGAACAUGUGGGAGAGAAGGUGGUGAAAGAGGUUGAAACUGUGAAAAAUAGCAAGAGUGUGGUAGAAAGGAGUAACUUUGAGUCUGCCACAAAAAUUAGAAAUUCCACUUCUAUGAGCAAGGGUAAGAGUGUGAUUGAAAACAAUGUGGAGAAAAAUGUGGUUCAAUCAGCGGAGAAGAGGGUUGUUGAAAGUGUUAGUAAGAAAGUUGCUAUAUCUUUUGGUAGAAGUGGCACUGAGAGGGUGGUUAAGUCUACUGAGAAGCAAGGUAGUGAGAGGGUUAAGUCUACUGAGAAGUAAGGUAGUGAAAGGGUGGUUAAGUCUACUGAGAAGCAAGGUAAUGAGACAUUUAGUAAGAAUGUAAGUGAAGCUGUGAGUAAGACAAUGGCUCGAUCUGUGGAUAAUAAUGCAGGUAAAGUUGGUAGUAAGAGUUUGAGUGAUUCUGUGGAGAAGAAUAAUAUGAGUGGCUCUGUGGAGAAGAAUUUGAGUGGUUUUGUACAUGAGGGAGUUGGAUCAGCUAAUGAGGUUUUUGGAGAAGGUGAGUAUGAGAGUUCAAGUGAUGGCAGUUAUAUACCAUCAGGUGAUGAGGAGACCGAUGAUGAAAUGGAAGCGAUGAGCUAGUGUCUGAGGAUGAAGAAUAUGAACAAUGUAGAAGGAAGAUGAAAGAGAGAAAGAAGCCCUUUGUAAUAACUGAUGAGAAGUUCCUGGGGAUAGUCAAUGGAGGAUAUAAUAGUGACUAUGUGUCUGAAUAUAAAAAUUCUGAAGAGGAUGAUAUUUAUUCUGACUCCACUGAUUUAAUGUAUGGCCCAAAAUGUGAUCAUAAGCUUCUUACAUUCAGUUCUGGUAUGGGAAUUAUUGAUGGACACCAGGCUAGAGACGCACUGAUAGAUAAUGAAGUGUUGAAUGGAUGGAAAAUUCAUUUUAAAAGAGCAAGAAGGAACUUGAAGCAGGUUGUCAGAGUCCUUGUGAAUGGAUGAUAUCUGGGAGUCGAGUGAGGACAAGUGGUGUAUUUUUAAUAAAAAAUCAGGAAGGGGUUCACACUUGUCCUGGGGCUAUGAGGAAUAAAAUUGCUACAUCAAAUUGGAUUGCUAGAAAAUACUUUCAUGUCUUUAAGCUUAAACCAAAUAUGAGUUGUAAAGAUUUAGGUAGGGAUUUAAUGCAGAGGUAUGUUGUUGAGGCCACAAGGUGGAAGGUAUUCCAUUCAAAGAGAAAAGCUAUUGAUCUGCUGAGGGGAUCUGUGGAAGAUCAUUAUGCCAAGUUGAGGAGCUAUGUACUUGAGUUGAGUAGAGCUGACAAAGAAGGUAGGUUUGAGCUACAUGUGGAUGUAGGUGUUGUGUUCAAGGCAAUGUACAUUGGAUUUAGUGGGUUGAGAAGAGGUUAUCUGCAGCGGGAACUGAUGGGAAUAAUCAAAUGUAUCCUAUAGCUUGGGCAGUAGUUGAAGUUGAGAACGAGGUUUGCUGGACUUGGUUCAUUAACAUUCUAGUGCAAGAGCUGAACUUGAGUGAAGGAGUUGGAAUUACUAUCAUAAGUGCUCAGCAAAAGGGGCUUGAGAAUGCAGUCAAGGAGCUUAUCCCAUUGGCUGAGCAUAGAAAUUGUGCAAGACACAUCUAUGCCAAUUGGAAAAAAGUUCACAAAGGUCCUAAACUGAAGCAGCUUUUUUGGAAGCUGGUUAGAAGCACCUACAUGCAGAAGUAUGAAUUGGCAUGCAAGGAAUUAGAGAAUGAGGAUGGGCAAGCAUUUGCUGAUUUAAUGGACAAGAACCCGAGCAGAUUCUGUAAGGCCUUCCUCACCACAACACAAUGAUCUGAUGCAAUUCUGGACAAUGUCUGUUAGUGUCAAUGCAUACAUUUUGGAUGCUAAAAAUAAACACAUAAUAGACAUGCUUGAGGAGAUAAGAACAACGCUUAUGGAGUGGUUGUAUAGAAAGGCUGUAGAGAUUGCAUCUGUUGGGAGUAGUUCAACCGUGUCUCCAAAAAUUUAAAAAAAAUCAAUGCAAUGGUAGUGGGAUGUAAAUUUCGAAGUUACUCACUUCGAUGACAGAUUUGUAGUGACUCCUUUAAAAAGACGGUGUGGUUGUAGGAAGUGGGAUGUAACAGGCAUUCCUUGUUUGCAUGGUGUUGCUGCUAUUAACUUUCUGAAUGAGGAUGUCGAUGAAUAUGUCCACCAAUACUUUUCAGUGAGCAAGUAUAAGUUGGCAUAUGGGUAUAGCCUGCCAACUGUGAAUGGGGAGAAACUAUGGCAUGUUGCUGAAGGUUAUCCCGUCACCCCACCACAUGUGAGAAAGAUGCCUGGUAGACCUAAGAAGGUUAGGAGGAGGGACCCAUUUGAGAAGGAUCCAGAAAGACCAAACAAGCCAAAGAAGAUAUGUGUGAUGACUUGCCAAAACUGUUUCCAAUAAUGCCACAACUCUAGGGGUUGCAAGAAUGAGACUGUUCAUCUGCCAAAGCAACCAAGGGUCAGUUUUUGUUUGACUUUAAUACAGUGAUUAGUGUCUUGGUCUAAUGCAUUGUGAACUGAUUCAAAUUUUAUCAAGCAAAAAGGGGAAGGCCUCUCAAGACGCCACAAGCAUCGACGUCACAUAGUGGCACCACCACGGUUCGAGGGAGGGGUAGAGGUAAAGGGACUGGAAUAAGAGGGAGGGCUGGAGCUGGACCGAGUGGAGCAAAUCCGGUUGGAGUAGUCUCUACUCAACAAAGUGCAGCCUAGAGAUGACAUGAAGAUGUUCUUUGUUUAUUUCUAUUGCAUUAACUGUUCGUUGUUAUGAAAUGACAUUUGGAGAUAGUUGGUGUGUUUUGUUGACAUUUUGAGCUAUUUGGUUUGUUUUGGUGACAAUUUGAGAAAUGUUGACAUUUUGAGCUAUUUGGUUUGUUUUGGUGACAAUUUGAGAAAUUUGGAGAUAUUUGGUGUGUUUUGUUGACAUUUUGAGCUAUUUGGUUUGUUUUGGUGACAAUUUGAGAAAUUUGGCGAUAUUUGGUGUGUUUUGUUGACAUUUGAGCUAUUUGGUUUGUUUUGGUGACAAUUUGAGAAAUAUGGAGAUAUUUGAUGUGUUUUGUUGACAUUUUGAGCUAUUUGGUUUGUUUUGGUGACAAUUUGAGAAAUUUGGAGACAUUUGGUGUGCUUUGUUGACAUUUUGAGCUAUUUGGUUUGUUUUGGUGACAAUUUGAGAAAUUUGGAUUGUUCUAUUGACAUUUUAAAUCUCAGAAGUGGAAUUAUUGAGAGGGGGUGGGGAAUUAUUGUGCUUGUGCUAGUUGUGGCAACGAUGAGGAAGCUGAGAUGCAGCAGAGCCGUUAUAUGCAUGUUUCCUUUCGACGCAACCGCUUCUUGUCUCUCAUCCCUCUCAAGCUCAAGGAUCUCAUUGCUCCAACCCCAACUCCAACUCUUUCCGGGAAUGCUGGGAAUUAUUGAGAUGCUGGGAAUUUCAGGUCGGGCGUUUUAUGAAGUAUCCCGGGCAUUUCCACCCACAAACCGGGCAUUCACACUGGUGCCAGGCAUUUUCACUAGAAAAUCGCCCGACCACACCAAUAAAUCGCCUGACCACACCUAUAUAUCGCUCGGUUAGAUAACUUAGUUUCCCUUCAUGUAAUUUUAGCAUAGUGUUGUAAAUUAAUAAAGAACACAUGAACAAGAAGGAUAAUUUAAUUAA